UCCGUUGUGGUGUAACGGCUAACAUGACCGCCUCUUAGGUGGUAGCUCUGGGUUCGACUCCUAGUGAGGGAG